AUGGAAGUAGAUGUUCACAAACUAGAAAAAGAGUACUACAUCUUUGUUAUAAUGUUAACCAAAGGUGUCAGCAGUGAUGAGAUCAGACUGGACCAGUCUCCUGCUGUGGUAAAGAGACCUGGAGAAACUGUGAAGAUCUCCUGUAAGAUACACGGCUUUGUUAUGACGAGCAGCUACAUGCACUGGAUCACACAGAAACCAGGGAAAGCUCUGGAAUGGCUUGGUAGGAUGGAUACAGGCAGUAAUAAAGCAAUAUAUGCAGAGUCUGUGAAGAACCAGCUCACUUUAACGGAAGACGUCUCAGCAAGCACACAGGACUUAGAGACCAAGCCACAGUGA